UCUUAGUUCCCUGGCCACGGAUCGAACCCGCACCCUCUGCAGUGGAAAUGUAGACUCCCAACCAUUGGACCACCAGGGCCCUGCUCUUGUGCUCCCUGGUGCGGGCUCCACUUCUGUGCUGGCGGCAAGCUGGGAGAGCGUGGAAGGAAUUCAGCAGCUGCACUCAGCUCCCAGUGGAUGAGAGACUGAUGAAGACAGUGAAGCAGGCGGCCGAGUUUCCCCAGGGUCCAGGCCAGGGUGCUGCUGCGGUUCUCUUCUCUUUCCCUCCUAUCCUGGAUGCAGCCAGCUGCUGAUCAAUGCAUAUACAUUUGAGAUGCUUCUCUCAUUUAAGGAAAAGAGACCUCUCAAAGAAAUAGAUGACUUAAUGGAUAGUUUUGCUGAGCCCCACAUACGAGGAGAUGGACCCAGGUUGAAGGGACUAAAUUGAAUGCCGGGUCAGGUGGAGAAAAUAACAUCACCUGCUGUCACCGGGCCCUGACGACAUCCAGGGAUGCUCUUCUGUGUUCCCGGUGAUCUCAGAGCUCCAGAAAGACUCCAGCCCUUCAGAUCAAAUAGCUGAAACAAUGGAUGAUCUGAACUGUUGAUAACCUCACACCAUCCAGGUGCCCAUCCACAUAGAAGAAAAAGUCCAGAGCCAAAGAGCCUUGCCCUUCCCAUCCCGUCUUUUCCAGCAUCGCUGUCUUUUUCAAUGGAUUGUCUUUUCCAGCAAGUUGGCUCUUCACAUCAGGUGGCCAAAGUAUGGGAACUUCAGCUUCAUCAACAGUCCUCCCAAAAUAAUCCCCUCUAGGGUGGAGAAAGUCCUGAGUAAUCCUUCAGAAGAAGUAGCAGCUGAUCUGGGAGAUGCUGUGAUUCGGCGGGGUCAGGCAGAGCAAGGCAUCAGGCCAUGUGCCGUGGGCUGGCAGAAGUGGAGACGCUCAGUAAAUGAUGUUGUGAUGUGCUGGAAAACAGUAUAUAGGAAUGCAAGGGAUUUCUGUGUGAAGAAUGGAACUGGAGGAAUCAACCUGCCUGACUUCAGACUCUACUACAAAGCCACAGUCAUCAAGACAGUAUGGUACUGGCACAAAGACAGAAAUAUAGAUCAAUGGAACAGAAUAGAAAGCCCAGAGAUAAAUCCACGAACCUAUGGACACCUUAUCUUUGACAAAGGAGGCAAGGAUAUACAAUGGA